rnacentral:miRNA from 1 species
CGCUGUCCAUUCUGAGCAUUG